rnacentral:rRNA from 1 species
AACGAACGCUGGCGGCGUGGAUUAGGCAUGCAAGUCGAACGGAGUUUCUAGCUUUUUCGGAAACUUAGUGGCGAAAGGGUGAGUAACACGUGGGUUACCUGCCCUAGGGUGUGGGAUAACCUGUCGAAAGACGGGCUAAUACCGCAUACGUCCUGUGCUUUUCGAAGCGCAGGGGAAAGAUGGGGAUCCGUAAGGACCUAUCACCCUUGGAUGGGCCCGCGGCCUAUCAGCUAGUUGGUGAGGUAAUGGCUCACCAAGGCUAAGACGGGUAGCUGGUCUGAGAGGAUGGUCAGCCACACUGGAACUGAGACACUGUCCAGACACCUACGGGUGGCAG